rnacentral:rRNA from 1 species
UACGUAGGGGGCAAGCGUUGUCCGGAUUUAUUGGGCGUAAAGAGCGUGUAGGUGGUUUGUCGCGUUGUUCGUGAAAACCUGAGGCUUAACCUUGGGCGUGCGGGCGAUACGGGCAGACUGGAGUACUGCAGGGGAGACUGGAAUUCCUGGUGUAGCGGUGGAAUGCGCAGAUAUCAGGAGGAACACCGGUGGCGAAGGCGGGUCUCUGGGCAGUAACUGACGCUGAGGAGCGAAAGCGUGGGGAGCGAACAGG